rnacentral:misc_RNA from 1 species
AACGCAUCUUGCGCUCCUUGGUAUUCCGAGGAGCAUGCCUGUUUGAGUGUCAUUAAAUUCUCAACCUUACUAGCUUUAUUGCUGGUCUGGCUUGGAUAUGGGGGUUUUGUUGCAGGCUUUAACAAGUCAGCUCCCCUGAAAUGCAUUAGCGGUGCCUUUGUGGUUCAUUGUCUACUGGUGUGAUAACUAUCUACGCCUUUCAGAUUGACCACGUCUUGUGCUAUACUGCUUCUAACAGUCCAUUUGUUGGACACGAAAUGUAAAAUGACAAUUUUGACCUCAAAUCAGGUAGGACUACCCGCUGAACUUAA